UGGAUCCAGACUUUGAUCCUGGCUCAGGACGAACGCUGGCGGCGCGCCUAAUACAUGCAAGUCGAACGAAGCUUUCUUUCACCGAAUGCUUGCAUUCACCGAAAGAAGCUUAGUGGCGAACGGGUGAGUAACACGUAGGCAACCUGCCCAAAAGAGGGGGAUAACACUUGGAAACAGGUGCUAAUACCGCAUAACCAUGAACACCGCAUGAUGUUCAUGUAAAAGACGGCUUUUGCUGUCACUUUUGGAUGGGCCUGCGGCGUAUUAACUUGUUGGUGGGGUAACGGCCUACCAAGGUGAUGAUACGUAGCCGAACUGAGAGGUUGAUCGGCCACAUUGGGACUGAGACACGGCCCAAACUCCUACGGGAGGCAGCAGUAGGGAAUCUUCCACAAUGGACGAAAGUCUGAUGGAGCAACGCCGCGUGAAUGAAGAAGGCCUUCGGGUCGUAAAAUUCUGUUGUCAGAGAAGAACGUGCGUGAGAGUAACUGUUCACGUAUUGACGGUAUCUGACCAGAAAGCCACGGCUAACUACGUGCCAGCAGCCGCGGUAAUACGUAGGUGGCGAGCGUUGUCCGGAUUUAUUGGGCGUAAAGGGAACGCAGGCGGUCUUUUAAGUCUGAUGUGAAAGCCUUCGGCUUAACCGAAGUAGUGCAUUGGAAACUGGAAGACUUGAGUGCAGAAGAGGAGAGUGGAACUCCAUGUGUAGCGGUGAAAUGCGUAGAUAUAUGGAAGAACACCAGUGGCGAAAGCGGCUCUCUGGUCUGUAACUGACGCUGAGGUUCGAAAGCGUGGGUAGCAAACAGGAUUAGAUACCCUGGUAGUCCACGCCGUAAACGAUGAGUGCUAAGUGUUGGAGGGUUUCCGCCCUUCAGUGCUGCAGCUAACGCAUUAAGCACUCCGCCUGGGGAGUACGGUCGCAAGACUGCAACUCAAAGGAAUUGACGGA
rnacentral:rRNA from 1 species